GGAUGUGGAGAUGAUCUGACCAUAACAUAUUUUACCCCAUUGAUGGCCAGGGGUGAUUCAGCUAAUCCGGCUAGGCAGGUGUCCACUUCCUCCUUUGUUGCUCCGUCUCUUCUGAGGCUAUGAGUCAGAAGACAGUCUUCCCUGAAAGGAGAUGACCAGUCUUCAGUCAAUGGUAUAUAAGUGGCUGGUCUCCUUAAGGGAACUUCCAAAUUAGCUCUCAAGACAAUGUCUAUCACUGAACCUGGAGCUCACUGAUUCAGGUAGUCUGACU
rnacentral:snRNA from 1 species